CGAAAGCCUGACGGAGCAAGACCGCGUGAGGGAGGAAGGCUCUUGGGUUGUAAACCUCUUUUCUCAGGGAAGAAGCACUGACGGUACCUGAGGAAUCAGCAUCGGCUAACUCCGUGCCAGCAGCCGCGGUAAUACGGAGGAUGCAAGCGUUAUCCGGAUUUAUUGGGCGUAAAGCGUCCGCAGGUGGUAGUUCAAGUCGAUUGUCAAAGGCAGUAGCUUAACUACUGAGAGGCAGUGGAAACUGAAAGACUAGAGUGCGGUAGGGGUAGAGGGAAUUCCCGGUGUAGCGGUGAAAUGCGUAGAGAUCGGGAAGAACACCAGUGGCGAAAGCGCUCUGCUAGACCGGCACUGACACUGAGGGACGAAAGCUAGGGGAGCG
rnacentral:rRNA from 1 species